GACGAACGCUGGCGGCGUGCCUAAUACAUGCAAGUAGAACGCACAGUUUAUACCGUAGCUUGCUACACCAUAGACUGUGAGUUGCGAACGGGUGAGUAACGCGUAGGUAACCUGCCUGGUAGCGGUGGAUAACUAUUGGAAACGAUAGCUAAUACCGCUUAAUAUUCAUUAUUGCAUGAUAAUUAAUUGAAAUGUUCAAUUUCACCACUACCAGAUGGACCUGCGUUGUAUUAGCUAGUAGGUGAGGUAACGGCUCACCUAAGCGACGAUACAUAUCCGACCUUAGAGGGUGGACGGCCACACUGGGACUGAGACAAGGCCCAGAAUCCUACGGGAGGCAGCAGGAGGGAAUCUUCGGCAAAAGACGAAAGGCUGAACGAGCAACGCCGCGGGAGGGAAGAAGGGUCUCGGAUCGGAAAGAUCCGUUGUAAGAGAAGAAAGGAUGUGGGAGUGGAAAGUUCACACUGUGACGGUACCUAAUCAGAAAGGGACGGCUAACUACGUG
rnacentral:rRNA from 1 species